GAUGAAGAACGCAGCGAAAUGCGAUAAGUAAUGUGAAUUGCAGAAUUCAGUGAAUCAUCGAAUCUUUGAACGCAUCUUGCGCUCCUUGGUAUUCCGAAGGGUAUGCUCGUUUGAGUGUCAUUGUACUCUCACACUCUCCGAUCCUAUGGAUUCGGGGAGCGGUGGACUUGGGUGUUGCUGCCUUUCCCUGUGGCUCACCUCAAAUGCGUCAGUGCACCUCUUGGUUGGACAUAGUACGGCGUGAUAAGUGUCUUCGCCGGCACCUCGCAAGAGGGUGGCCGAUCGGGAGCUCUGCGCUUUCAAACCGUCUUCGGACAAUUUCUGACAUCUUGACCUCAAAUCGAGUAGGACUACCCGCUGAACUUAAGCAUAUCAAUAAGCGGAGGA
rnacentral:misc_RNA from 1 species